rnacentral:tRNA from 1 species
GCGCUCGUAGCUCAGCUGGAUAGAGCAUCAGGUUGCGGACCUGGGGGUCGGAAGUUCGAAUCUUCUCGAGCGUGC